rnacentral:rRNA from 1 species
GUCGAGCGGAAUGACGAGAGCUUGCUCUCUGAUUUUAGUGGCGGACGGGUGAGUAACACGUGGGCAACCUGCCCUACAGAUGGGGAUAACUCCGGGAAACCGGGGCUAAUACCGAAUAAUCAGUUUGUCCGCAUGGACAAACUCUGAAAGACGGUUUCGGCUGUCACUGUAGGAUGGGCCCGCGGCGCAUUAGCUAGUUGGUGGGGUAAUGGCCUACCAAGGCAACGAUGCGUAGCCGACCUGAGAGGGUGAUCGGCCACACUGGGACUGAGACACGGCCCAGACUCCUACGGGGGGCAGCAGUAGGGAAUCUUCCACAAUGGACGAAAGUCUGAUGGAGCAAUGCCGCGUGAGCGAAGAAGGUUUUCGGAUCGUAAAGCUCUGUUGUAAGGGAAGAACACGUACGGGAGUAACUGCCCGUGCCAUGACGGUACCUUAUUAGAAAGCCACGGCUAACUACGUGCCAGCAGCCGCGGUAAUACGUAGGUGGCAAGCGUUGUCCGGAAUUAUUGGGCGUAAAGCGCGCGCAGGCGGUUCUUUAAGUCUGAUGUGAAAGCCCACGGCUCAACCGUGGAGGGUCAUUGGAAACUGGAGAACUUGAGUACAGAAGAGGAAAGCGGAAUUCCACGUGUAGCGGUGAAAUGCGUAGAGAUGUGGAGGA